rnacentral:lncRNA from 1 species
UACGUCCUAAUACUUAAUGUCUCUCUGUAUGUUUUUUCCUUGAAACCCCAGCUGCUGGAGUCAUGUGAAUAUUGGAGAAUAUCUGUUUUUAUUUUUAAAUUCUAUUUCUAAUCUUCAUGGAUGCAACUUCCCCCACACUCUGGAAAAAGCAACUUGCAUAACUACUGAAAGGAAAGUGAAGGGAAAGUCUUUCUACUCCUCUUCAUACAGUUCUUUUGAUGGACAUGACUGUGCUGUGAAAGGGAGGAUGGAGCAACUCACCAGAUGCCCAGGAGCUGUGCAGCAAGAUCAUCAAAGCCUCCUGUCCUCAAUUACCGGGAAGAUAUGGUGGAUACCUGGMGGGAAUUACCAGAGGUUGCUUCAUGCUAUGAUGUGGACUUUUUCUUACUCAAGUGUAAUUACCUCUAUCUUGAUGGGAAAUGAGAACAUCACAGCAAGAAUUUCUGGCCAAWUCAGUGUUGUCACCUCUUUGCUCUUGACCAAGCCUAUUAAAAAAGCAUUUGUGUUUCUGACUGAUCUCGCAGUGAUGCUUCUUCGUGCUCCUGACUAUCUCUGCUCAGCCACAGGAUGUGUAAGCCCUCCGUAGCCACAGAAACGUGUUUGUGUUGACUGUUGUGAUGCCUGCUCUCUUCCCUAGUCAGUACCUUGAAAACCAAUGAAUGAAUUCCUGGCUCUUAAAGAGGAAGCCAGACAGAAGAAGAUAAAGGCAAACUUGCAGAUUUCUCUUCCCAGCAGAUAGACCUGUCUCGUUAAUCAGAAGAUGUCUUUUUCCUGUUUGUGAGGGAAAAUAGCCACUAUUUCAGUAGGCUGAAGGACAAACUGGUGCUCACAAGCAUUAUUUUCUUUAAAUAGGACUAGAUUCAGUCUUCUGACACUGGGUCAGUCCAGGUGCCUCUGAAAAAUCUUAUUGUGCUCAGAGGGAGCCGAAGGUGGCAGGAUCAUCAUUGCCCCAGGUGUAACCRAAACUCCAGAACUCUUGCACGGAUACCAUGAGGUCACAUCCAGCAGUUGCUCUGUAAUCUCCUGCCAAUGUCCUGAAUGAUCCUGGGCCUACUAAACUGAUGAGAAACUCCACUCCUAGCAGUAAGUCUAUGGCUUUACAUUUACUUGUGAUUUUU